GCGGCCGUGGCGAAACGGCAGACGCGCUAGCUUCAGGAGCUAGUGGGGGAAACUCCAUGGUGGUUCAAAUCCACUCGGCCGCA
rnacentral:tRNA from 1 species